CGACGGUCUCCACCCCGCGGCCGGAGCCGUCUGCCUCCGCCGCGAGGGCGGUGCUAGCUGUGGCGGCAUCACCAGCCGCACAGCACGGAGGCCUGGAACCGGAGCCGAUGCGUACCGCCGUCGGCUGGGAUGUUGGAACCCGUUUUCCCAUGUCGCCUGACUGGAAGGCUGAAGGGCUGCCUGAGGACGGUGUGCUGGCCGGAGCUGCCGCGCCCCAGCCGGCCCC